rnacentral:rRNA from 1 species
CUUGGUAGCGAUAGCUAAGAGGGUACACCCGUUCCCAUCCCGAACACGGAAGUUAAGCUCUUACACGUCGAUGAUACUUGGUGGGAGACUGCCCGGGAAAGUAGAUAGUUGCCAAGC